rnacentral:rRNA from 1 species
GACGAACGCUGGCGGCGUGCCUAAUACAUGCAAGUCGAACGCAGUGGGGACGGUUGAGUAACACGUGGGUAACCUCCCAUCAGCGGGGAUAACACUUGGCAACAGGUGCUAAACCGAUACUGACGGAUGGACCCGCGUUGCUUUAGCUAGUUGGUGAGGUAACGGCUCACCAAGGCCACGAUGCAUAGCGGACUCUAGAGGCGGAUUGGACGCACUGGGAAUGUGAGACUACCCAGACGCCUACGGGAGGCAGCAGUAGGGAAACUUCGGCAAUGAACGAAAGUCUGAACGAGCAAUGCCGCGUGAGUGAAGAAGGUUUUCGGGUUUGAAAACGCCGUAGUUGGUGAAGCCGUAUCGAACCAGAAAGCCACGACUAACGACAUGCCAGCAGCCGCGGUAAUAC